AUUGAACGCUGGCGGCAGGCCUAACACAUGCAAGUCGAGCGGAUGAAGGGAGCUUGCUCCUGGAUUCAGCGGCGGACGGGUGAGUAAUGCCUAGGAAUCUGCCUGGUAGUGGGGGAUAACGUCCGGAAACGGGCGCUAAUACCGCAUACGUCCUGAGGGAGAAAGUGGGGGAUCUUCGGACCUCACGCUAUCAGAUGAGCCUAGGUCGGAUUAGCUAGUUGGUGGGGUAAAGGCCUACCAAGGCGACGAUCCGUAACUGGUCUGAGAGGAUGAUCAGUCACACUGGAACUGCGACACGUUCCAGACUCCUACGGGAGGCAGCAGUGGGGAAUAUUGGACAAUGGGCGAAAGCCUGAUCCAGCCAUGCCGCGUGUGUGAAGAAGGUCUUCGGAUUGUAAAGCACUUUAAGUUGGGAGGAAGGGCAGUAAGUUAAUACCUUGCUGUUUUGACGUUACCAACAGAAUAAGCACCGGCUAACUUCGUG
rnacentral:rRNA from 1 species